GGGGAUAAUCCUUAGAGUCCCCAUAGGGCGGUGUGUUAAUAGCCAUGUCUUUGGCCAGGCCUGGCGGUUAGUGAAUC
ncrna:unclassified sequences L13-Bacteroidia ribosomal protein leader